ensembl:misc_RNA Y_RNA Y RNA
GACUGGUCCGAUGGUAGUGGGUUAUCAGAACUUAUUAACAUUCAUGUCCCUAAGGUUGGUAUACAGCCCACCACUGCUAAAUUUGACUGGCUUAAU